GUGGUCUUAGCUCAGUUGGUAGAGCAUCGGAUUGUGGUUCCGAGUGUCGUGGGUUCGAGCCCCACAUUCCACCCCA
rnacentral:tRNA from 2 species